ACAGAGGGGGCGAGCGUUGUUCGGAAUUACUGGGCGUAAAGGGCGCGUAGGCGGCCUAUUAAGUCAGUUCUGAAAUCUCCGGGCUUAACCCGGAAAGGUCAGCCGAUACUGCGGGGCUAGAGUGCAGAAGGGGCAACUGGAAUUCUCGGUGUAGCGGUGAAAUGCGUAGAUAUCGAGAGGAACACCUGCGGCGAAGGCGGGUUGCUGGGCUGACACUGACGCUGAUGCGCGAAAGCUAGGGGAGCGAACGGGA
rnacentral:rRNA from 1 species